GUGGUUUGCAGGGUACCGCCAUUCUCAAGGAGUGUUGACGCAAUGAAAACAGGAGACUGCCCAUACUUCUUUUCCAGCUUUUGUUCAGACAUGAUAAUUGAUGUUUCGCUCUCGAUGCCUUCAAUGCUCUCUUCAAUACCCUCCAAAGCAAAAACGGGCACAUUGUGUCCUCUUCCAGAACCCUUCCUCUUCUUGUCUUGCUUGUUCUUGGCAGCCCUCUUCUUCCUCUUCCCAGAGCAACAGCAUCCACAGCAGCACCACUUUGGUAAGCAGUUGCAAGUCCUGUUUGGUGGCUUCUUUGACUUUGGAGCAUCAAAACCAUAUAGUGCUUGCCUUCGGAACACACAACCCG
rnacentral:misc_RNA from 1 species